GAACAAAGGCUACAAGUUUCUAAUUUCAAAACCUUCAUUUAAAGUCCAAUAUGCCAGUUGUACUCAGUCUAAAUAGCAAAGUAUUAAGAAUCUUCAUGAAAGAAAAUAGCUCUGAAGGGCAAAAUCAUUUUAAAAGAGCAAAUCAUACGAUUUGCUGUGUGAAAAUCUUCAGCUUCGUAAUUUUCGAGGUAAAAAAUGCAGAGUAUCUCAGUGUAUAAAUUAAUUUUCAUUUCAAAUUAUACACUUGUUUAAAAUCAAUAGGCUAUGAAACUCAGAAUGAACAUACUAACAAAAGUAUUGAAUCAUAAAAUUCCCUAACUAGAGGAUGCUAUUAAAAACUCCAUAUACAGAGCUUAUCUUUCACUCUUUAGCUACAGGUCUGAUUAUAACUAAACCCUGAAUUAUAUUAUCUACUCUGUGACUCUUGCCUGUCUUGGGUUACCAUACAGGAAGGCUGUGAAGAUUCUUAGGAUUAUUUCUAAAAAUCUGAUAUAAGAACAAGAGAACACUUAAGAAUUAAGCACUGGAUCCAAAAUAUGCUAAUCCUUUUUUGUUAAGAAGUUGAAUUAAGGAGAUCAGUAGCUUUCAACUUAGGCUCUCAGGAAAUUAUAUUCAGUAUGAAUUCCACCUCUAGCCUAGAGGCCUAGAGCAAGUUAUAUAAACCAAAUUUCAAUUUCCCCCUAUAAAAAUUGCAGCAAUUCACAAGUUUAUUAUUUACACAUGUCUACAUUAAAUGAUUAUUAGCACAUAGCAGGCAACCCAUAAAGGUAGAUAUAUGUUGUGAUAAUACUUUUUAAUGGUUAAGGAAAUCAUCAUUGCUUAAUAUUUAAUCUGAAAAGUUAUUUUGAAAAUACGUGGUCUUUGUAACCUCAUUUAAGUUAAAGAGAAUGUUACGACUUCUUGAGGUGACUCAAAAUCUAGACGUGGGGUGUUAUUAAUUUGGGAAACAGUUUUUUAGAAUACAGAGUUACUUAGAGGUAUACCAGAGACCAAUAAUGUUAAGCACAGAAGCACACCUAUAUUGUAAUUCUUAUUGAUUGGGAAUUAUUAGUAGCGUAUGGCUAAUAAAAAGCAAAGCUUUUCUAAACCCAGAACAUCACACUUGCAUGAACUGAAGAAAUGACUGAUCCUACUGCAAUAUAACAUUGUGGGAAGAAGAGGAGGGAGCCAUACUCCCUCCUUACCGGGGCAAGGUCCUGCAGGGGAGAGCACCGAGGUGCUGUACCAUAACCAUAACAGUUCAACUGUAUGACAGAAUUCUCGGUCAGAGUUUUGAAAUUUCAUGUAGAAAAAAAAAUCCAAAAGAUGUUCAGAUCAAUUUAAAUAUUCAAAAAGCUCAGUCCCCAUUCAGAAACAGAUAAACAGUAUAUUUAUUAAAUGAGUUAAGACAAAUAAACUUUACAAAUAGACAAAUAAUAAAAGGCUCAGUGGCUAAAAUAGAUGGUAAGCAUCAUUGAAAGAAAUCAACACCAUCACGGUAUCUCAGUUGGCUUACAUGUGUAAAAAGAAAUUUUCAAAGAGCAAUUUCACAGAAAUGAAGCCAGUUUUUUUCUUAUAAACAAAUCAUCAUUUCUUGGUUCAAAACUGACAUCUGUUAUGAAAAUUACCAUAUCACAUAUUUGUAAGAUGACAAGGAGUAACUCAUCUUCAAAGUGCAAGAAAGUCUAUUUAUAACCACAAAAAAGGCAAUGAAGAGGAGAAAAGGAUUUUUAAAAAAUAUACAAAGAUUAAAAACAUUUGGGAUGCAAAAUUAAACAAUUUUUUGGUUAGAGGAUAAAAGAGUAAAGUGAUUGAAUUACAGAUGCUGAUUUCAGCUAUACAUACUAUAUAAUGGGAUCCAAGAUCUUUAACAGCUUGCUUGCAUUUUUUCUACUUACAUAAUGCUCUGGAAAUUUCUCGUAGAAAUUACAGUGUCUCACAGAGAGAAAUACAUACUAAGCAUGUCCUGCUACUACUUCAUGGAUGUCUUAAGACCCGUUCAUGGAUUAGGGUGGGUGUAAAAAGCCAUUGCCUUAAGUUGAAAAAUGAAUACUGUAAAAGCUCAAUACAAAUCCUCCAAAGCACAUGCACGUCUAAAUCUUUUGGAAAUUACAUUCAUAUUUAAGCAUAACCAAAAUAAAAAAGAAAACUGAAAGCAUUUCCCUUUUCUCUAUCCCCUAUGCCCUGUAGGCUUCUCCAGUUGAUAGGGUCAAUUUUUAAGAGUUGAAAGGGUUCUUCAAGAGUCUAGUAGACUACCCUCAUUUCGGGCAGAUAAUUUUUUUUCAAGGUCAUGCAGCACAUUUAUGGCAAAACCAAGACUAGAAACCAGUUCUUGACUUCGAGCCUGGAAUGCUUUCCAGCAGAUCAUGCUACCUCUU